UACGUAGGGGCCGAGCGUUGUCCGGAGUUAUUGGGCGUAAAGCGCGCGCAGGCGGCUUCGCGCGCCCGACGUGAAAGCCCCCGGCUUAACCGGGGAGAGUCGUUGGGGACGGCGGAGCUUGAGGGCGGGAGAGGUCGGUGGAAUUCCCGGUGUAGUGGUGAAAUGCGUAGAGGUCGGGAGGAACACCGGUGGCGAAGGCGGCAUCCUGGACCGGCAUUGACGCUGAGGAGCGAAAGCCAGGGGAGCAAACGGG
rnacentral:rRNA from 1 species